rnacentral:rRNA from 1 species
GACGAACGCUGGCGGCGUGCUUAACACAUGCAAGUCGAACGGAAAGGCCCUGCUUUUGUGGGGUGCUCGAGGGGCGAACGGGUGAGUAACACGUGAGUAACCUGCCCUAGACUUUGGGAGAACUUCAGGAAACGGGGGUUAAUACCAGAUAGCAGCUCCUGCUGCAUGGUGGGCGUUGGAUAUUUUCGGCGGGCGGGGUUGGACUCGCGGCUGAUCGGCUUGUUGGUGGGGUAGUGGCUUCCCAAGGCUUUGGCGGGUCGCCCGCCUGGGAGGGUGGACGGCCACCUUGGGACUGAGAUACGGCCCAGACUCCUAUGGGAGGCAGCAGUGGCGAAUCUUGCACAGUGGGCGGACGCCUGAUGCGACAGCGCUGCGUGCGGGAAGCCGGCCUUCGGGUAGUGAACCGCUUUCGCCUGUUACGACGCGUGAGUGACGGUAAUGGGUGAAGAAGCACCGGCUAACUACGUG